UACGGGGGGAGCAAGCGUUGUUCGGAUUUACUGGGCGUAAAGGGCGCGUAGGCGGUCGUGACAAGUCACUUGUGAAAUCUCCGGGCUUAACUCGGAACGGUCAAGUGAUACUGUCGGACUAGAGUACAGAAGGGGCAACUGGAAUUCUCGGUGUAGCGGUGAAAUGCGUAGAUAUCGAGAGGAACACCUGCGGCGAAGGCGGGUGCUGGGCUGAUACUGACGCUGAGGCGCGAAAGCCAGGGGAGCGAACGGGAUUAGAACCGGUACCGAC
rnacentral:rRNA from 1 species